AGUGAACGCUGGCGGUAGGCCUAACACAUGCAAGUCGAACGGCAGCACAGUAAGAGCUUGCUCUUACGGGUGGCGAGUGGCGGACGGGUGAGGAAUACAUCGGAAUCUACUUUUUCGUGGGGGAUAACGUAGGGAAACUUACGCUAAUACCGCAUACGACCUACGGGUGAAAGCAGGGGAUCUUCGGACCUUGCGCGAUUGAAUGAGCCGAUGUCGGAUUAGCUAGUUGGCGGGGUAAAGGCCCACCAAGGCGACGAUCCGUAGCUGGUCUGAGAGGAUGAUCAGCCAACCUGGAACUGAGACACGGUCCAGACUCCUACGGGAGGCAGCAGUGGGGAAUAUUGGACAAUGGGCGCAAGCCUGAUCCAGCCAUACCGCGUGGGUGAAGAAGGCCUUCGGGUUGUAAAGCCCUUUUGUUGGGAAAGAAAAGCGGCAGGUUAAUACCCCGCUGUUCUGACGGUACCCAAAGAAUAAGCACCGGCUAACUUCGUG
rnacentral:rRNA from 1 species